ACAUCUUCAUAAAGGAGCAAAUGGGCACUAAAUGUAAGUGUAGUAUCUGUUCUUAUCAGUUUAAUAUCUGAUACGUCCUCUAUAUGAGGACUACAUGUUAAAUGGAUUUUUAUAGCUGGGAGUCAGAACAGGGGUAGUAGGGCAAGUUGUGGCCUAAUGGUUAGAGAGUCUGACUCCUAACCCUAA